AAUGAACGCUGGCGGUAUGCUUAACACAUGCAAGUCGAACGAACAAAGCUGGAGCUUGCUUCAGUGGAGUGAGUGGCAAACGGGUGAGUAACACGUGGGAAUCUACCCAUCAGUACGGAAUAACAUUUGGAAACAAAUGCUAAUACCGUAUAUCCUCUACGGAGGAAAGAUUUAUCGCUGAUGGAUGAGCCCGCGCAAGAUUAGGUAGUUGGUGGGGUAAUUGCCUACCAAGCCUACGAUCUUUAGCUGGUCUGAGAGGAUGAUCAGCCACACUGGGACUGAGACACGGCCCAGACUCCUACGGGAGGCAGCAGUGGGGAAUAUUGGACAAUGGGCGAAAGCCUGAUCCAGCAAUACCGCGUGAAUGAUGAAGGCCUUAGGGUUGUAAAGUUCUUUUAAUAGGGAAAACAAUGACGGUACCUAUAGAAAAAAGCCCCGGCUAACUCCGUGCCAGCAGCCGCGGUAAC
rnacentral:rRNA from 1 species